rnacentral:rRNA from 1 species
AAACGCCAGGGAAUUACGAGCGCAAGCUUAAAACCCAAAGGACUUGACGGUGUCCCACCCACCUAGAGGAGCCUGUUCUAUAAYCGAUGAUCCACGAUACACCUCACCAUUUUUUGCCUCUUCCAGCCUGUAUACCUCCGUCGGCAGCUUACCAUUUGAAUGCGUAAAGUAAGCCUAAUGGUCUAUACACCAACACGUCAGGUCAAGGUGCAGCCUAUAAAAUGGGAAGCAAUGGGCUACAAUUUCUACCUUAGAACAAACGAAAAACCACAUGAAACAUCGUCAUGAAGGCGGAUUUAGCAGUAAAAGAAGAAUAGUAAGCUUCUUUUAACAAGGCCCUGGGACGUGUACAAACCGCCCGUCACCCUCUUCAACAGCAUUUUCUUUAGUCCCCAACACCUAAUCAGCACCUUAGAAGAGGCAAGUCGUAACACGGUAAGUGUACUGGAAAGUGCACUUGGUUAAACAAAGUGUAGCCUAGCCAAAGCCUUUCGCUUACACCGAAAAAACAUCUGUUUAACUCAGAUCACUUUGAGCCCUAAAUCUAGCCUACAUUAUUACUUAUAUAAGCCCCCACUAGUCAAGAUACAAUAAAACAUUUUAACCGCUUAGUAAAGGAGAU